ACACCACCAUGGCUUCGCCGAGU
rnacentral:siRNA from 1 species